GACGAACGCUGGCGGCAGGCUUAACACAUGCAAGUCGAACGCAUCCUUCGGGGUGAGUGGCAGACGGGUGAGUAACGCGUGGGAACGUGCCCUUCAGUUCGGAAUAACCCAGGGAAACUUGGGCUAAUACCGGAUACGUGCGAGAGCAGAAAGAUUUAUCGCUGAAGGAUCGGCCCGCGUCUGAUUAGCUAGUUGGGGAGGUAAUGGCUCACCAAGGCGACGAUCAGUAGCUUGUUUGAGAGGAUGAUCAGCCACAUUGGGACUGAGACACGGCCCAAACUCCUACGGGAGGCAGCAGUGGGGAAUAUUGGACAAUGGGCGCAAGCCUGAUCCAGCCAGGCCGCGUGGGUGAUGAAGGCCUUAGGGUUGUAAAGCUCUUUCAGUGGGGACGAUAAUGACGGUACCCGCAGAAGAAGCCCCGGCUAACGUCGUGCCAGCAGCCGCAGUAA
rnacentral:rRNA from 1 species